rnacentral:rRNA from 1 species
UAACUUGAAUUUAUUCAAGGGAAAGUGGCGGACGAGCGAGUAACACGUAAGAACCUGCCCUGUACUCAGGGACAACUUCGCGAAAGCGGAGCUAAUACCGGAUGGUCUCGAAAGAGUAAAGCUUUAGCGGUACGGGAGGGGCUUGCGGCUUAUCAGUUAGUUGGUGGGGUAAAGGCCUACCAAGACUAUGACGAGUAGCUGGUGUGAGAGCAUGACCAGCCGCGAUGGGACUGAGACACGGCCCAUACUCC